CCCUUAGAUGUUCUGGGCCGCACGCGCGCUACACUGAUGAAUUCAACGAGUUUUCCACCUUGACCGAGAGGUCCGGGAAAUCUUUUCAACUUUCAUCGUGCUGGGGAUAGAUUAUUGCAAUUGUUAAUCUUGAACGAGGAAUUCCUAGUAAGCGCGAGUCAUCAGCUCGCGUUGAUUACGUCCCUGCCCUUUGUACACACCGCCCGUCGCUACUACCGAUUGAGCAUUAGGGUGAAAUCUUCGGACCGUGGCAUACUUCUGGCUUAGCCAGUCUUUGUCCGUGGGAGGCCGCUUAAAUCCUGAUGCUUAGAGGAAGUAAAAGUCGUAACA
rnacentral:rRNA from 1 species